rnacentral:rRNA from 1 species
CCUACGGGAGGCAGCAGUGAGGAAUAUUGGUCAAUGGACGCAAGUCUGACCCAGCCAUGCCGCGUGCAGGAUGACGGCUCUAUGAGUUGUAAACUGCUUUUGUACGGGGGUAAACCCCGAUACGUGUAUCGGGUUGAAAGUAUCGUACGAACAAGGAUCGGCUAACUCCGUGCCAGCAGCCGCGGUAAUACGGAGGAUCCGAGCGUUAUCCGGAUUUACUGGGUUUAAAGGGUACGUAGGCGGUUUGAUAAGUUAGAGGUGAAAUGCCGGGGCUCAACCCCGAAACUGCCUUUAAUACUGGUGGACUAGAGAAUAGUAGCGGUAGGCGGAAUGUAUGGUGUAGCGGUGAAAUGCUUAGAGAUCA